UUUAUGAACAAUCCCCUAGUAACUGCGAGUGAAGCGGGAAAAGCUCAAAUUUAAAAUCUGGCGUGCCUUUGGCCGUCCGAGUUGUAGUCUGGAGAAGUGUUUUCUGUGCCGGACCGUGUACAAGUCCCUUGGAACAGGGCUUCAUAGAGGGUGAGAAUCCCGUCUUUGACACGGACUACCGGUGCUCUGUGAUGCGCUCUCAACGAGUCGAGUUGUUUGGGAAUGCAGCUCAAAAUGGGUGGUAAAUUCCAUCUAAAGCUAAAUAUAGGCGAGAGACCGAUAGCGAACAAGUACCGUGAGGGAAAGAUGAAAAGCACUUUGGAAAGAGAGUUAAACAGUACGUGAAAUUGCUGAAAGGGAAACGCUUGAAGUCAGUCAUGUCUGCCAGGACUCAGCCUUGCAGUUUUGCUUGGUGCACUUUCUGGUUGACGGGCCAGCGUCGAUUUUGACCGUUGGAGAAAGGUGGAGGAAAUGUGGCACCUUUCGAGGUGUGUUAUAGUCCUCUGCCGUAUGUGACGGUUGGGAUCGAGGACCGCAGCACGCCUUUAUGGCCGGGGGUCACACCCACGUUACGUGCUUAGGAUGCUGGCUUAAUGGCUUUAAGCGACCCGUCUUGAAACACGGACCAAGGAGUCUAACUUGCCUGCGAGUGUUUGGGUGGAAAACCCAAGCGCGCAAUGAAAGUGAUAGUUGAG
rnacentral:rRNA from 1 species